AAGAGGCAGCCGCUUCCUCUUUCUUUCUAGAAAUGUCUACAGUGCUUGGAAAUGGAACUAUCCUGAGCUCUUGCUCUACCUUUUGGAAUGUGACUGUCUGUCCUGUCUCUCCUGACAGGACAAGGGAACAAGCAGUCUCUAAGGUUGAGGACUUCAAGGCCGCCUUGAAAUGAUUUUAAUUCCUCAAUGGGACACUGCUACCAUCUCUUUGAAGGCUGAUCGACAUUUAUUGAGAGCCCUUUUUCUGGAGGAAGCAGAACAUAAAUCAGAAAGGGAAACCAAGGCAGGUCAAUCCACUCACCGUCCUCUGAACCACCAGGACCAUAAUGGUUGCCACCGUGAAGACGAGACACAGAGCCAGUGUGGCGAUGGUGAAGUAGAAGCAUCUGCGGCUGGUUCCUCCCAAGUGG